GAUGAAGAACGUAGCGAAAUGCGAUACGUAGUGUGAAUUGCAGAAUUCAGUGAAUCAUCGAAUCUUUGAACGCACAUUGCACCUCUCGGUAUUCCGGGAGGUAUGCCUGUUCGAGCGUCAUUUGUACCCUCAAGCUCUGCUUGGUGUUGGGUGUUUUUUCCGCCUCUGUGUGUGAACUCGCCUCAAAACAAUUGGCAGCCGGCGUACUUGUUUCGGAGCGCAGCACAUUUUGCGAUCCAGAUCAACGUACAGCGGCAUCCAAGAAGCCUUAUUUAACGCUCUUGACCUCGGAUCAGGUAGGGAUACCCGCUGAACUUAAGCAUAUCAAUAAGCGGAGGA
rnacentral:misc_RNA from 1 species